rnacentral:rRNA from 1 species
GAUGAACGCUGGCGGCGUGCCUAAUACAUGCAAGUCGAGCGAACAGACGAGGAGCUUGCUCCUCUGACGUUAGCGGCGGACGGAUGAGUAACACGUGGAUAACCUACCUAUAAGACUGGGAUAACUUCGGGAAACCGGAGCUAAUACCGGAUAAUAUAUUGAACCGCAUGGUUCAAUAGUGAAAGACGGUUUUGCUGUCACUUAUAGAUGGAUCCGCGCCGCAUUAGCUAGUUGGUAAGGUAACGGCUUACCAAGGCAACGAUGCGUAGCCGACCUGAGAGGGUGAUCGGCCACACUGGAACUGAGACACGGUCCAGACUCCUACGGGAGGCGGCAGUAGGGAAUCUUCCGCAAUGGGCGAAAGCUUGACGGAGCAACGCCGCGUGAGUGAUGAAGGUCUUCGGAUCGUAAAACUCUGUUAUUAGGGAAGAACAAAUGUGUAAGUAACUAUGCACGUCUUGACGGUACCUAAUCAGAAAGCCACGGCUAACUACGUG